CAGCCGCCGCGGUAAAACAGAGGGUGCGAGCGUUAAUCGGAUUUACUGGGCGUAAAGCGUGCGUAGGCGGCUUCUUAAGUCGGAUGUGAAAUCCCUGAGCUUAACUUAGGAAUUGCAUUCGAUACUGGGAAGCUAGAGUAUGGGAGAGGAUGGUAGAAUUCCAGGUGUAGCGGUGAAAUGCGUAGAGAUCUGGAGGAAUACCGAUGGCGAAGGCAGCCAUCUGGCCUAAUACUGACGCUGAGGUACGAAAGCAUGGGGAGCAAACAGGAUUAGAUACCCCUGUAGUCCCUGUCUCUUAUAC
rnacentral:rRNA from 1 species